CAAAACCCUCGGUCUAACGGUUUGUUAACAAGCCGACUGACCGGUAAUGGGCUUUGGGAGCGGGCCUUCCGGUCUCUCCCUGCCUUAAACCUGCUGCACGACCGCAAGCAAUUGCAACGGUUAAUGGAGUGGUGUUACAUAUCUUCCAUACAAGCCUUAGCUACCGCUUCAGCGGCGUUAAACCUAUGUUGCUUAACCGCGACCGAAC
rnacentral:misc_RNA from 1 species